rnacentral:rRNA from 1 species
AUACGGAGGGUUCAAGCGUUAUCCGGAAUCAUUGGGUUUAAAGGGUCCGCAGGCGGUCAAUUAAGUCAGAGGUGAAAGCCCAACGCUCAACGAUGGAACUGCCUUUGAUACUGGUUGACUUGAGUUAUACGGAAGUAGAUAGAAUAAGUAGUGUAGCGGUGAAAUGCAUAGGUAUUACUUAGAAUACCGAUUGCGAAGGCAGUCUACUACGUAUAUACUGACGCUGAGGGACGAAAGCGUGGGGAGCGAACAGGAUUAGAAACCCCAGUAGUCC